rnacentral:piRNA from 1 species
UUGUUUACCACUGGAGUUGUCGCUUUUCUU